AAGUCGUAACAAGGUAACCGUAGGUGAACCUGCGGUUGGAUCAUUACCAAUUGAUUAACUCAUGCAUUCACUCUCGCGGCGUAUGUCGCUUGAGAGGUUUGCGUGUGUCCACCUUUUGUGAACUGUCCUGUCUCUGGCGGAGGGGUUAGCGGUGCUAUGCAUCUGCUGUGGCCUGUCAGCUUGGCUAGCCUAAUCAGCUAGUUUUCAAGCCGUGGACAAACCGCCAAUGGCUUCGGCCAAAGACUUAAACAUUCUCCAAAUUUCUAGUCUGAAGUGAAUUCUGUAUAGUAAUAUACAAACAACUUUUGGCAACGGAUCUCUUGGCUCUC
rnacentral:misc_RNA from 1 species